AGUCGUACAAGGUUUCCGUAGGUGAACCUGCGGAAGGACAUUAU
rnacentral:rRNA from 1 species